GUCCUGGACACGGCGGAGUGCGGAGCCGCCCGUAAGAUGCUCUGACCUUUGACCCCUGCCGUUCAGCUCUAGGGCCCGUGCAGGCCACACCAUGAACACCUCCCCAGGCACGGUGGGCAGUGACCCGGUCAUCCUGGCCACUGCAGGCUACGACCACACCGUGCGCUUCUGGCAGGCCCACAGCGGCAUCUGCACCCGGACGGUGCAGCACCAGGACUCCCAGGUGAAUGCCUUGGAGAUCACACCGGACCGCAGCAUGAUUGCUGCUGCAGGUAUCUGUGACCCUUGAUCUCUAAACUCCUGAGCUCUGGUGGGUCGACCUGAGCACAGCCAAGCUUCAGUUCAGCCUGUGUCCCUAGGUUACCAGCACAUCCGCAUGUAUGAUCUCAACUCCAAUAACCCUAACCCCAUCAUCAGCUACGACGGCGUCAACAAGAACAUCGCGUCUGUGGGCUUCCACGAAGACGGCCGCUGGAUGUACACGGGCGGCGAGGACUGCACAGCCAGGAUCUGGGACCUCAGGUGUGGUGGGGAGGGGGCCUGCUGCCCGGGGCUGGGGUGGGCUGCUCUGGGAGACCGUUUUA
rnacentral:sRNA from 1 species